GGCGUGCCUAAUACAUGCAAGUCGAGCGGAAUGAUGAAGAAGCUUGCUUCUUCUGAUUUUAGCGGCGGACGGGUGAGUAACACGUGGGCAACCUACCUUGUAGAUUGGGAUAACUCCGGGAAACCGGGGCUAAUACCGAAUAAUCCAUUUUGCUUCAUGGCGAGAUGUUGAAAGACGGUUUCGGCUGUCACUACAAGAUGGGCCCGCGGCGCAUUAGCUAGUUGGUAGGGUAAUGGCCUACCAAGGCGACGAUGCGUAGCCGACCUGAGAGGGUGAUCGGCCACACUGGGACUGAGACACGGCCCAGACUCCUACGGGAGGCAGCAGUAGGGAAUCUUCCACAAUGGACGAAAGUCUGAUGGAGCAACGCCGCGUGAGUGAAGAAGGUUUUCGGAUCGUAAAACUCUGUUGUAAGGGAAGAACACGUACGAGAGUAACUGCUCGUACCUUGACGGUACCUUAUUAGAAAGCCACGGCUAACUACGUG
rnacentral:rRNA from 1 species